CGCAUUUUUCGCUCCCUGUUUUCGGUCCUUUAUGUCCGCCUUUUCGCUUCCCCCUCUGGCACUGUACCUCUUCCUUACUUCUCCUCUCCGCGUCUUUCCGCUGGCACUGUACUUCUUCCUUACCUCUCCUCCGCGUUUUCGGCAUGUGGGCCCCUUGCGCAGCAGCUUCUCCCUCUCCCUUUCUCGCGAACCCUAUGUUCUCCUACCGUUACCGUCUACGCAGAUCCGCCGCUUCCCCGGAAAUUCCUCUCUCCCUGGACCGUACGCCUGUAUCUACCCAAAACGGCGCAUUUAAUGGCGCCGCGCAACUCCGCUGGCACUGUACGUCUUCCUUACCGCUUCUCUCCGCGUUUUCGGCACCUCUCCGCGGAUUCGCUGCUUCCCCGGAAAUCCCUCCCUCCCUCGCCCGUACGCCUGUAUCUACCCAAAUCGGGGCAUUUAAUGGCGCCGCGCAACUCCCG
rnacentral:lncRNA from 1 species